rnacentral:rRNA from 1 species
UGCCCUUAGGACGAGAAUAACCCCGGGAAACUGGGGCUAAUGCUCGAUAGGUGAAGAACUCUGGAAUGAGUCUUCACUUAAAAGAGUCUGCGUUAUGCUCGUAGAUUUCGCUUAAGGAUGGGGCCGCGACCGAUCAGGUUGUUGGUGAGGUAAUGGCUCACCAAGCCUUUUACCGGUGCGGGCCGUGAGAGCGGGAGCCCGGAGAUGGGCACUGAGACAAGGGCCCAGGCCCUACGGGGCGCAGCAGUCGCGAAAACUUUGCAAUACACGAAAGUGUGACAGGGCUAUCCCGAGUGCCAUCCGCUGAGGAAGGCUCUUACCCAGUCUAGAACGCUGGGGGAAUAAGGAGAGGGCAAGUCUGGUGUCAGCCGCCGCGGUAAUACCAGCUCUCCGAGUGGUGUGGAUGUUUAUUGGGCCUAAAGCAUCCGUAGCUGGCUAGGUAAGUCCCUUGUUAAAUCCACCGAAUUAAUCGUUGGAUCGCGGGGGAUACUGCUUGGCUAGGGGACGAGAGAGGCAGACGGUAUUUCCGGGGUAGGGGUGAAAUCCUAUAAUCCCGGGAAGACCACCAGUGGCGAAGGCUGUCUGCUAGAACGCGCCCGACGGUGAGGGAUGAAAGCUGGGGGAGCGAACCGGAUUAGAUACCCGGGUAGUCCCAGCUGUAAACGAUGCAGGCUAGGUGUUUGGACGGCCACGUGCCGUUCUAGUGCCGCAGGGAAGCUGUUAAGCCUGCCGCCUGGGGAGUACGAUCGCAAGAUUGAAACUUAAAGGAAUCGGCGGGGGAGCACCACAAGGGGUGAAGCUUGCGGUUUAAUUGGAGUCAACGCCGGA